GUCUUUNUGAUUAAUAUAUAUAAAAAGUUUGACCUGCCCAGUGGUAUACGUAUUAAACGGCCGCAGUAGCCUGACUGUGCAAAGGUAGCAUAAUAAUUUGCCUUUUAAUUGGUGGCUAGUAUGAAUGGUUCGACGAAAGCAUUUCUGUCUCAAAUAUAUUUUAUAUAAUUUAUCUUUUAAGUUAAAAGACUCAAAUAAAACUAAAGGACGAGAAGACCCUAUCGAGCUUAAAAAGUACUUCAGAGAAAUGGUAUUAUUAAAAUCUAUUUUUCCUGAAAUAUUUUUUGGUUGGGGCAACCAAGGAACAAAUAAAGCUUCUUUAAGUAAUAAUAAUAAGUGCAAAGAUCCAACUUAAUGUUGAUAAAUGGAAUUAGUUACCGUAGGGAUAACAGCGUUAUUUUUUCUGAGAGACCAUAUCGAAGAAAAAGUUUGCGACCUCGAUGUUGGAUUGAGAUAACUUAAAGGUGCAGACGCUUUUGUAAGUUAGUCUGUUCGACUAUUAAAAUCUCACGUGAUCUGAGUUCAGACCGG
rnacentral:rRNA from 1 species